UACGGAGGGUGCAAGCGUUAUCCGGAUUCACUGGGUUUAAAGGGUGCGUAGGUGGGUUGGUAAGUCAGUGGUGAAAUCCCCGAGCUUAACUUGGGAACUGCCAUUGAUACUAUCAGUCUUGAAUACCGUGGAGGUCGGCGGAAUAUGUCAUGUAGCGGUGAAAUGCUUAGAUAUGACAUAGAACACCAAUUGCGAAGGCAGCUGACUAAGCGAGUAUUGACACUGAGGCACGAAAGCGUGGGGAUCAAACAGG
rnacentral:rRNA from 1 species